rfam:Elusimicrobia bacterium RIFOXYA2_FTLL_69_6 rifoxya2_full_scaffold_51476, whole genome shotgun sequence.
GGAGAGGUGGGUGAGCGGCUGAAACCGACGGUUUGCUAAACCGUUAUACUUGUGCAAACGGGUAUCGAGGGUUCGAAUCCCUCCCUCUCCG